rnacentral:rRNA from 1 species
ACGUAGGGACCAAGCGUUGUUCGGAUUUACUGGGCGUAAAGGGCGCGUAGGCGGCGCGGUAAGUCACUUGUGAAAUCUCUGAGCUUAACUCAGAACGGCCAAGUGAUACUGCAGUGCUAGAGUGCGGAAGGGGCAACUGGAAUUCUCGGUGUAGCGGUGAAAUGCGUAGAUAUCGAGAGGAACACCUGCGGCGAAGGCGGGUUGCUGGGCCGACACUGACGCUGAUGCGCGAAAGCCAGGGGAGCGAACGGGA